rnacentral:sRNA from 1 species
CCAGCAUCCCAAACCCGAGUCCUUAUGACUGUGGGAAAAUCACCCAGGCCAGGGAUCAUUAUACACCUGGCUCAACUCUCGAUCUUUAUUUCUUUCUCUUUUGUUCCGAAACUUGCACUGCUUCUGCCUUUCAAUGCUGCAUGAAGCCGGUUGCUUCCCAAAUUUGCGUGGUUAGUGUGUAUAUCAUGUUGGAUCUGAGAGCUAAAAGUGCGAUUCCGAGACCCAGCCACGAUAGAAAGACACAUACGGCCGUCCAGAUAUACGCGCCCACCUGAUUCCGCUUCAAAUUCAACCAAUUUCCACGUACUUAGCUCCCUGCUAACGGUAUAAUCAAUCAGGGAUUUGAUCUUGAAUAAUACUAGAACAUUACUCCUCUCACCUGAGUAGCAGGAACCAACACAAACAUGGCGAACGACAGUCCCGUCCAUUUCUUUGACAUCACCUCUAAACUCCCAAUCCCUUUCAAAUCCUGGUCCCCCAAUACCCUCCGCACCCGCCUCGUCCUCAACCACAAGAAGAUCCCCUACACCCAAUCCUUCAUCUCCUACCCAGACAUCGCGCCCUUACUGCAAUCGCUCUGUCCCGCCCC